rnacentral:lncRNA from 1 species
CAGAUUUCAUUCUGCUCCAAAACUUGUUUACUCAUAUGACAAUGUGUUUCAUGGAUUCAGUGCUGUUUUGUCCCAAAAUGAACUGGCAGCGUUGAAGAAGUUGCCAGGUUUUGUUUCAGCUUACGAAGAUAGAACUGUGGAACCUCAUACUACCCACACAUCUGAUUUCCUCAAGCUCAAUCCUUCAUCUGGGCUAUGGCCAGCUUCUGGUUUAGGCCAAGAUGUGAUCAUCGCUGUUCUUGAUGGUGGAAUCUGGCCUGAGUCCGCGAGUUUCCAAGAUGAUGGUAUGCCAGAAAUACCCAAAAGGUGGAAGGGGAUUUGCAGGCCUGGGACACAGUUUAAUACUUCAAUGUGCAACAGAAAACUUAUUGGGGCUAAUUACUUCAAUAAGGGAAUUUUGGCUGAUGAUCCCACUGUCAACAUUUCCAUGAAUUCUGCUAGAGAUACUAACGGUCACGGCACACAUUGUGCUUCCAUUGCUGCUGGGAACUUUGCUAAAGAUGCUUCCCAUUUUGGAUAUGCACCAGGAAUAGCAAGAGGGGUUGCUCCACGAGCUAGGAUAGCUGUGUACAAGUUUAGCUUCAGCGAAGGAACUUUUACAUCAGAUUUAAUUGCUGCUAUGGACCAAGCUGUUGCGGAUGGUGUUGACAUGAUAUCCAUUUCUUUUGGGUACCGUUUCAUUCCCUUGUAUGAAGAUGCUAUAUCAAUUGCUUCCUUUGGAGCUAUGAUGAAGGGAGUGCUAGUUUCAGCUUCAGCUGGAAAUCGAGGUCCAAGCGUUGGAAGUUUAGGCAACGGAUCUCCAUGGAUCUUGUGUGUGGCAGCAGGCCACACUGACAGGAGAUUUGCAGGAACUUUGACUUUGGGCAAUGGGUUAAAAAUUAGGGGGUGGAGCUUGUUUCCUGCAAGAGCCUAUGUCAGGGAUUCACUGGUGAUUUACAACAAGACUCUGGCCACUUGUGAUUCAGUUGAAUUGUUAUCGCAAGUUCCUGAUGCUGAACGCACCAUCGUCAUCUGUGAUUAUAAUGCAGAUGAAGAUGGUUUUGGUUUCGCUAGCCAAAUUUUUAACAUCAAUCAAGCAAGAGUAAAAGCAGGCAUAUUUAUAUCUGAGGAUCCAACAGUGUUCACCUCUUCUUCUUUUUCCUACCCGGGAGUUGUGAUUAACAAAAAGGAAGGGAAACAAGUCAUCAAUUAUGUUAAAAACAGUGCUUCUCCCACAGCCACCAUAACGUUCCAAGAAACAUACAUGGAUGGAGAAAGGCCAGCCCCAAUUCUUGCUCGAUUCUCAGCACGAGGGCCUUCCAGAAGCUACUUGGGAAUCCCAAAGCCAGAUAUCAUGGCACCAGGAGUACUGAUUCUUGCAGCAUUUCCACCUAAUAUCUUUUCAGAAAGUAUUCAGAACAUAGAAUUAUCCUCUGAUUAUGAACUUAAAUCAGGCACAUCCAUGGCUGCUCCUCAUGCAGCUGGAAUUGCAGCAAUGCUAAAAGGCGCACAUCCUGAAUGGAGUCCUUCAGCUAUUCGCUCCGCCAUGAUGACCACAGCAAACCAUUUGGAUAGUACUCAAAAGCCUAUUAGAGAGGAUGAUAACAUGAUUGCCACACCACUAGAUAUGGGAGCGGGGCAUGUUGACCCGAACAGAGCUCUUGAUCCCGGCCUAGUAUAUGAUGCCACUCCACAAGAUUACAUAAAUCUUAUAUGCUCUAUGAAUUUCACAGAAGAGCAAUUCAAAACAUUUGCAAGAUCAUCAGCCAAUUACAACAACUGCUCAAAUCCAUCAGCUGAUCUCAAUUACCCAUCAUUCAUCGCCUUGUACCCGUUCAGCCUCGAGGGGAACUUCACCUGGUUGGAACAGAAAUUCAGGAGGACCCUUACAAAUGUUGGUAAAGGUGGAGCAACUUAUAAAGUGAAGAUUGAAACUCCUAAGAAUUCCACAGUUUCAGUGUCUCCGCGAACUCUGGUGUUUAAAGGGAAAAAUGAUAAGCAAAGUUAUAAUUUGACAAUUCGAUAUAUAGGUGAUAGUGAUCAGAGUAAAAACUUUGGGUCGAUCACUUGGGUUGAAGAAAAUGGCAACCACACUGUUCGUAGUCCUAUAGUGACUUCAACCAUUAUUGAGGUAUGGGGUAGCGAAGACUAAGCGGAAAUAAGAUACAAGUAAUAUAGUACGUAAUAUAUGAUGCUAAAUGUAAAGUUGUUAUCCAGUAAAUAAACAAGAACAACUUUGAACCUUUCAAAUUAUUUUGAACUUACCUAUUGGUGAGCUAAUAAUCACAUUAACUAUAUUUAAGAGUAAAACAUAAACAGAAUUUCAAUUAUAUACACUUUGGUCGAUAGACUUUUGGCACUAGUACUACUGUUAAAAUAUUAUUUUUAUCGAUGUUAGAUAUUUAUAUAUGGUAUUUUGCUUAAUCAUUACCCUUAUCAGAUGAUUGCCCUUAUGAAUUAUCCAUAUGUAUACAUAAUAAAAUAUUAAUUAUAUAUGUUUUAUAUUUAAGAAAAAAAAGUUAAUAUUUUUCCUAAACUUGCUAUACAAUUUUUUCCUUUUUUUUUUUUCACUUUGUUUGAAAACAAAGUGUGAAAAUGAAAAAUUAAGCCGCGUGUAACAAUUUAAAACUAAUCGUCACGUCCUUUGGUGAAACAACAUGACUAUCGAAAACUAUUUAUAUAAAAGGACUAUUAAUCAUAUAUUAUACUAUUAUUAUAUUUUACAUUUUCUGAAAGCAACAAAAGAAUUAUAAGAAAAAAAAAAUGGAACAAUGUCAAUGGGGAAUUGGUUCAAUGUUGAUGAUGUUAGUCGUGGUGAUUUGUCUUUUAUUUCUACCAUUAUUUAUGGGUUCGAUUCAGCCACCUUCUCUCUUCGUCUUUCUCAUGAUUCCUCUUGCAAUGGCCGUCAUUUGGAUUUAUCUUUCGUGUGCCUCUGAAUCUGUUUAAAUAAUACUGUUAUUUACAUGGGAUAAUUUAUUUUUCAUGUAUAUAUAGUAGAGUAUAUUCGCAAUAUUAAAUUUAAAAAAAUUGAAUGAUGUGAAAGCCAAGUGGAAUUAUUGUUAUUUUUUUCCUUAUUUUUACAUCGCAGUGCAAGGAAAAUGAUGUAUCAAGGAAACAAAUGCACGACGAUGCAUCUAUGAUUUUUAUUUUUUUUUACAUAUAUUUUGUAUUUCAAUUAAUAUAAUAUUUUACCUUGUGUUACUGGUGCUCUAAUUGAAUAUGUUAUCCAAUGGUAGUAUAGUUUAAUGAGACUUAAGCAUGUGUUUAAUAUGGAAUUUUUUUGAAAUUCUACUAGUAACAUUUUAUAUUAAUUGUGUUACUCAUAUACUUUUGCAAGUUAAUUAGUUUAUUCCGGUAGCUAAAAUUUUCCUGGGUAUCUCUUUUAUCAUUGAUAUUUCGUAUCACACACAUACAUCGGUAAUUAAGUAUAAUCCCGGUGGAUUUUUCCCCUAUGUCUCUAUUAUGUUUGAGAUCAGAAAAAUCCCAGAGGUGACACCAUUUUCAUGUUCUCAGUCUGUGUUCAAGAUUAAGCUUGACAUAUUUUUUUAAAAAAAAAAAAUUCGGGAUGGGGGAAGGGAAAACAGGAGGGAAUUACAAACAAAGAAGGAGAAAUUUAGAUAUCCAAUCAACUAAGCUAUUAAAUUUCACUAGCUUAAUUGUAAGGGGAAAGGGUAAAAUUAUUCAUAAAUUAAGUUUGUCCUGUAUCUGUCUUUACCAAACCUAACAAAUAUACCCCAAUGAUUUCCUCAAGUCAAUCAAAAUUGCUAAAUUUUAAUUGAAAUUACCCGAUUUUUCUUUUACCUCGCCGCCGUAACAUUGACCACUCCAAUGAAAAUAGAAAAUUAACGUUUAACCAAAAAGAAAUUAUAAUGUUCUUCUUUUCCACUCUAAUUAUGGUUUUUUCCACUUUUAAAGACACCUUGUACCUAAAAUCUCAAGGCAAGCAUAUGAAUAAGGAAAGUUAUAUUUUUUUUUCCUCGAAUCACAACUAUUCAUGUAAGUAUGUUGCUUUUUUAUUAAUAAGGAAAACUUUGGGUUAUAAAAUAUGAAUAAACCCCUAACAUGUUUGACAUGUAGUUGAAUUUCGAAUAUGUCUUUUCAAACAAGUGCUAUUAGUCCUGCAGGAAAUAACACAAAAUUGAACAAUUAUGAUGGUUGGCAUAUUCCAAACAAAGCCCUUUGGGGUGUUUUAGGGGUCGUUGUGUUAGUCAUUCUUUGUAAAAUCAUCUGCAGAUUUAGAAGAAGAAAAUCCUCCAAAAUCAACGAGGCAAAUCAUAGUGAUGAUAAAUCAAAAGAUGAUAGUGAUGAUGAGGCAAAUCAUUGUGAUGAUAAAUCAAAAGAGGAUAGUGAUGAUGAGGCUACGUCUAAAGUCUAGAAGGGGAAGAAAAUAAUUAGUUUGACAAUGUUUAUGUUUCUUUUAUUAAGUUACUAGUAUCUUGAUACGUCUGUUGCACGUCUAUUUCUAGUUUAACCUAUAGUUUUAUUUAUUUUACGAAUAUAUAGCUCUGAUAUGUAGUUAUUGAUAAAUUCUUGUCAAAAGAAAGAGAUGAAUUAUUGGGGUGUUUUAUUUUUCUAGUUCAAGUUUACUCAUUUAGGUUUAAUGAAAUCUUAAUUUUUACAACUUAGUAUAGUACUCAUAUAAUAUUACACGACUUUUAAUAUGUAUUAAUUUCAUAAUAUGUUAAGAACAAGGUUGGAUAGUGCUUUUUUUUAAUUUAUGUUUUUUAAAAUGAGCAAUUUUUACUUAUAGCAAAUACAAAAUUUAUAUUCGUACUAUAUAGUUAUAGUUUGUAUAGUUGCGCUUCACAACAAACAUGCUAUGACUGUUUUCGCUAUAUAUAUAUACAAAAGAAGCAACUGUAUAGUUCGCUGGCAGACCAUUUGUAUAAAUUGUUGGCAGCCUCUUCUUUGUAUAAAUCAUUUGUAUAAUUCGUUUCUUGUUUGUAUAAAUCAUUGACAUCCUCUCAAUUCAAUUUUAUAUAUUUAUAUAUCUGUUUAAAAUUUGAAUUUGUAUACAAUUGAAUCGGAAUAAAAUGUUUGCAUAUCAAAUAUCGCUCUCUCUCGCUUUAUACAAAAGAGAAUUGGGCAAAGAAAUAUUUAUAUUGUAUAAUGGUAAGUGUAUAGGACAAAAAUAUAUGUAUUUGCAUGUGUAUAGACAAUUUUCUCUCGCUUUAUACAAACAAUAAUAUAAUUGAUACAUUUCUGAUUGUAUAAAGCGAGAGAGGCGAGCAACAGAGGAAAAGUAGCGAAUGAGAGUUUGAGGCAGAGACAUGACUGACAAACAGUUUGCUACAUGACACGAUUAAAUUAAAGUAUGAUUAUAGCAUUUAAUUUAAAUUAUUAAUUUAUCAUUAUAUAUAUCUUUUUAAAAUUGGUAUGGUGUAUGACCAUCUUAAUUAAAAAUUUAAGUUCUUAAGAUGAAGAAUACAUUAUUUACUUAAUUAUUCUUUAAAACACGUGUAUGUGUCGAAAGAUCGAUUUAGUGCAAAAAAAAAAAUUAUAGAAAGAGAUGUUAAGCUAUCAAAUGUAUUUAUCAAAUACAACCCUUAAUAACCUAUGUAAAUUGCGCUACAUUAUUUUAUUUUAUUUUUUUUUAAAAAAAAGAAAAAUUAAUAUAGUUACGCGCUCAACUGAUAUAACAAUCUAUCAUAAUCAACGAGAUUUUGAUACAAAUAUAAAUAUAUGAUUUGAUGCAAAUGUACAACAAUGAACAUAUAAUACUCAAAUGCAAGAUACAAAUGUAUAACAAGAAACUAAUACAAUUGAGUACAUUGCUACAAUUUUAUAACUAGUUGGAGAUACACUAAAUACAUUGAUACAAAAUGAAUAAUUUGCACAAAUAGAGUUAAAGCUCCAAAGCUUUCUCUCAUAGCUACCGUGAAAUUUCAUAAACUAUCGCAAGUCAUUCAUGACGAAAAGCAAGAGAGAGAGAAAGAACAUCAUUGUUGAAUUUGAAUUAGAAAAAAUUCAAAGAAUUAUCCAUGAAAAUAAAAAGAAAAUCAAAAGGAAAAAUAUCUCUAAUUUCGGGUUACACUAAUUUAUAGAUACAAUUUCUAAAAGAUACGCUAAUUGAUAAAUUAUUUAAUUUACCAACUAACAUUUUUCUUAGAAAGAAAGUAACAGAUUGAAAUUAAAAAGUAACUAAUAAAUAGAUAGUGUAGGUACAAAUUAUAAAUAUUUUAACUAUAGAAUUUGGUACCCUAAUGUUUGACCUUACCAAAAAAUUAUACUUUUUACAAAUUAGUAGCAUUAUUAUUUUUUCUUUCUACUUUAUAAAUGGUUCCUUUUUAUUUCCCUUCCCUCUCUCUAACCUAAAAUUUUCAAUAAAUUUUAACGCAAACAUAUGAAUAAGGAAAGUUACGUUUUCUUUUUUCUUUUAUAACCCCCAAAAAAAAAGAGGAGAAUGUUUCAUUAAUAAGUAAAUUUACUAAAUAAAUCCUCUUAACUCCCCCUUACCUUUAUUUUUUUUUAUUCGAAUAACAGACACAUAACAUCUAUAUAAAUAAAGGUCUACGUACCUUUUACUCUCUCAUAUGCACCCUUCCAAUGAUAAUUUUUCUCUUCUUACAAUAUUCUUCCCUUAGUACAAAUUAACUCAAUACGUCGAAUCCUGGAAAUAAUAGUAAUAAUAUUACUUACGAAGGUGAAAAUCAGAAAGAUUAUGGUGCUAAUAAAUGGCAUGGUCUCCUCAUUCCAUUUCUUGUAGGUCUAAUUGUUGCUUUUGUCUUGGUUUUUGUAGUUUAUUUUAUUGUCAAAUGUAUCAUCAAGAAACGCAAAAUCAAAAAUUUUGAAGCAUAUAAUAAAAAUGAGUUAGAUAACAACUCUCAAGCUUAAUGAAAGAAGAUGCAUGCACAAUUCGACUACAACAAUUCGCUCUUCGGUCUCAAAUAAAUUGGUGUUUGUUAUUUCUUUAAUCCUUGAACAUUCUUUUAAUUUUUAUAUUUUUGUUUCUUAUAUUUAAUUGUUUGUAGAGAGUGGUAGAAAUUACUUUUAGCUAGAUUUUGUUUAUUUUUUGGAUUUAAUGAAUUUAUAAUUCAUUACUCUUGUGUAGUUUAUUUUACAGUUUUACACAAUUGUACUUUUUUGUUUUUUUCAUAAUACCUCGUUGGAAUAAGGUGUAGACAUUGAAAUUUUGUGUGAUGUGUUCAAUUUGAAUUGAGAUCCUAGAAGAUGUGUUCAGUUUCAAUUAUAAUUCUUGGAGGCUACUCGGUCCAAACCCUAGAUCAUGUCUAUAUAAAGGGUAUUAAAGACAUUUCAAAUAUUCCGACAAUUCAUGGAAUAUUCAUAUAGAGGUCAAUUCUAAAUCAUUCUAGUUCGAAAAACAAUAAAUCUUAGGAGAGGAGAAUCAAAGGGAUCAACAGAAUUGUACCCAGGUCACAUUGAUUACAUAAAAUUUGACGUUUCUUCAAAUUUUAUUUGUGUGGUUUAUUUAUUUUUUAUAAGUAUAUAAUUUGUUGCAAACAAAUUGGCACGCUUAGUGGGACCAAAUUUAUCCUUCAUCUCUUCUCACACAAAUUAAAUCUGAAGCUGCAAAGGUGGAAGAAUGAGUACUCCUUGACGCAUGAAAUAUUUGUAUAUACUGAAUUUUUGGGACUUUACAAGACUUGUUCAAUUUGAAUUGGAACUCUGGAAGGUGUAUUCAGUUUCAACUAAAUGAGGCUAUUCAACCCUAGACCCAAGGUCAUGUCUAUAUAAUAAUAAAGGGUAUUAAAUUUCCUUAAAAGACAUCUCGAAUAUUCUGCAAAUUGAUGAAAUAUUUAUAUAGAGAUUAAAUCUAAAUCAAUCUAGUUUGAGAAACACGCCACUAACAUUCAUCGAAUCAUGAAUAAAUCUUAGGAAAUGAGAAUCAAGAGAGAAACAGAAUUGCACCCGCAAUUUUUAUCAAGAAAAUUAUAUUCUUUUAAUUUUAUUGUUAUUAAAAUUUGUUUUCUAUCACUUUAAAAUUUAUUGCAAAUACAAGUUGGAGGAUGCCUUUUUAAUUUAUAUAUUUUCCUCAUAUAGAGUAAACUACAACUCCAUUCGUCCCACUAUGAAUAUUAUCUUAAUAAAAAUUGUCCGUCCGAAAAUGAAUGGCACUUCAACAAAAUUAUGUUCAUAGUUUAUUAAUUCUUUUAUCUAUUUUUACUUGUUUAAUAUAUUAUUCUAAGAUGCUUAAUAAUAUUUGUUUAAUUUAUAAAAUUAAUAAAUAAUUUAUUAUUUUAUAUCUAUUUUAUCCUUAUUAUCAAUUAUUAUUCAUUUUUUCUAUGUUUAGAUGACCUAUAUUCCCUCUGUUUCAUUUUAUAUAUUAUUCCUUUCUAUAAUUAGUUGGUCCAUAAUACUUGUCACUUCAUAAAAUCAAUGCAUAAAUCACCAUACUGCAUUUAUUAAUGCUAGUACAAAGUAAAAAGAUAACAUAUAAAAUGAAACCUGAGAAAUAUUUAAUAAUGUAACCUAUCAUUCUACUUCUUAAUUCAUGUUUCAAGACAAUAAUUGACAACUAUUGCCAAACAAAGGGAGUAUAUCCAUAUUUAAUAAAUGACUCUCGAAAAUUGAACACUAUUACAAGAAGAUGGAACGUAAGAGUAUUGUUAAAAAAAACAUACUCAAGUAAAUUGUCUUGAAAUUCUAAAAUGACACUUAUUUUGGGACAAAUAGAGUAAUUAUCACUCAACUAAUACUUUCUCUGUCCAACAAUGUUGUUCAUUAUUGACUUUGCACACUUCUUAAGAAACUAUAAAUAGAAGAGUAAUUUUACUAUAUAUCACCCUUGAAAUAUAAUAAAAUACAAUAUCUUAAAAAAUACAAUAGGAGAAUGACUAUAAUUAAUGAUAAGAAUAAAUUAAAAACUAAGUGUAAAAUUAUUCAUUGAUUUCAUAAAGUAAACAAUAUUAUUAAACAUUUCCAAAAUAAUAUAGUGAACAACAUCUCGUCUAAAUGAGCCAUAGAUUGUGAGUGAGCUUUCGAGGAGUAGAGAUCGAGCCGAUACUGGGCCAGGCCGUCCGAUCCCCUUGCCAGAUGGACCUAAGUUAGGCCAAUGUAUCACUUUUGCUUGCAUAGUUUAGGAAAAGCAUAAUCAUAAAUAUUUUUAAUUUGAUCUUAAAAUAUAUAUUUAUGCCCUGUGUGGACAUAAUAUAUAUAGAAUACCAUGUAAGACUCCGAUUGUCAUGUAAGAUGCAUGUGUAUAUUUAUUUAACUUUAUACAAGUAUAAGUGUUUAUUUAUAUACAUCAAAGUUGGAGAACAAAAAUAUAAGUUAAGGCACAAUUAAAGAACAUAGUUAUGUAUUAGGCCAAAAUUUUAUCAUUCUCUACCUAAGUGGUUCUGUCAAGUUCUCUUUUAUAAUCUCGUUGGAUUUAUGUUCCAAAGUAGAGAAAUGUUUUUAGUGUCAGUAGCUGACUCUUCAGCAAGUUGGGGAAGUUUGGUUUUUGUGAUCCACAUUAUAUUAUCCAGAAGACAAAAGUAUAAUAUCACCUGUUACAACUAUGAAAUCAAAAAGUAACAUGGAGUGGAAGCAACACUCAUUCAUUAGUGACUUCUCUCUUUGUUAUAUUAAAAAGAGAUUAUAAUUCCUUUCAUUAGAUUACAAGUGGAGUCAUGUUCCUAUAUUUUACUAUACUACCUUUUUAUAACUCAGUAUUGUUCUCCACUUGACAUACAAUAUGAUUAUUGCAACAACCAAAUGCUAACUGCAUGAUCCUAUAAACUCACUUGAAUCUGAUGUUGUAUGUAGCCAACACAGCAAAGAUCUAGAAUGGUGUUACCUUAUUGGAAUUUCGCCAAAGGUGUUUCCCAUUUUGGAUAUGCAUCAGGUACAGCUAGAGGGGUUGCGCAACGAGCUAGGCUAGCUGUAUACAAGCUUAGCUUCAAAGAAGGUACCUUUACUUCAGAUCUAAUUGCAGCUAUGGACCAAGCUGUUGCGGAUGGUGUUGACAUGAUGUCCUUUUCAUUUGGGUCCCGUUUUGUUCCCAUGUAUGAAGAUGCUAUAUCCAUUGCUUCUUUUGGAGCUAUGAUGCAGGGAGUUCUUGUUUCAGCUUCAGCUGGAAAUCGAGGCCUGGAUACUGGAACUUUAAAGAACGGAUCUCCAUGGAUCUUGUGCGUGGCAUCAGGCCACACUGACGGACAUUUGCAGGAACUUUGACACUGGGAAAUGGCUUCGAAAUUAGGGGGUGGAGCUUGUUUCCUGCAAGAGCCAUUGUUAAGGAUUCAACAGUGAUUCACUACAAACUCUAUCUAUUAGAUCCAUGAUGACCACGGCAGAAAGCCGCGCAUCCUGAGUGGAGUCCUUCAGCUAUUAGAUCUGCCAUGAUGACCACGGCAGAUCCUUUGGAUAACACUGUAAAACCAAUCAUAGACUCUGACAUUAACAGGGAAGCCACACCCCUAGCCAUGGGAUCAGGGCAUGUCAAUCCCAACAGAGCCCUUGACAUAUGAUGCUACUCCACAAGAGUACGCUCUAUGAAUUUCACAGAAGAGCAAUUCAAGACAAUUGCAAGAUCGCCAGCCAAUCACAACUGUUCAGAUCCAUCAGCUGAUCUCAAUUACCCAUCAUUCAUUGCAUUGUACAACAAUGAGGGAAACUACACCUGUUUGGAGCAGGAAUUCAGGAGGAAAGUCACAAAUGUUGGUCAAGGUGCAGUUACUUAUAAAGCUAAGAUAAAAAAAACCCAAGAACUCAAAAGUUUCAGUGUCACCACAAACUUCGAUGUUCAAGAAUAAAAAUGAGAAGCAAAGCUAUAUUUUGACAAUUCGUUAUAUAGGUCCCAAUAGAAACUAUGGGUCGAUCACUUGGGUUGAAGAGAACGGAAAUCAUACUCUUAGGAGUCCUAUAGUGAUAUCUCCCAUGAUUGAAUUGGAAGUACCAAACACAAGAACAAAGGAAAGCUGAAAGCAAAAUGGUAAAUGUGUAAGCUCUAUGAAUUGCCUGUACUAUCUUAAACAAACAAAUAACAGUGGUCCUUCCGUCCCUCUUUCGCCCAAUUUUGUGCUAGUCUUUAAUUUUGUAUCAUAAUAUUUCAUAAGUUAUACUUUCGUGCCUUUAAAGGACUUAUGCCCCGCUAGACAUAAGUUCAAUUUCUAAGAACAAAAAUUACAAACCACCCAUGUGAAGGGUAAAUUAAAGAUCACCUCAUUUGAAGGGAAAAUCAUUCAAUUGAUGUUUAUAGGUUGGAGUUUCUGUUCAUAUAUAUUGUUAAGUUCUAAAUAAUAUUUAGUAUGUUUUCAAUAAAUUUCUCAAUGCAAAUAUAAUAUAUAGAACAAAGAUACUUAACCGUACUCUAGCUCUACCCCGUAUAGAUUAUUAAUAAUAUCCCCCACCAUAUUUUCCCAAAUGGGGAACAGAAUAUCAGGAAAUUUAGUAGAAAAAAGAUUAUGUAGAGCAAAACCUAGUCACUUGAUUCUUUAUAUUAUCGAGAAGCUAAAAUAAAUCUUAUACAUUAAUAUGGAGAAAGAGUGAGAGCAACUGCCUUCAUUAUUGACUUCUCUUUUUCUUCCAAAGAGAUUAUGUUUGAUUUAGUUUACAAGAUUCUGUCAUAUCUUGCCUCACAAUUCAUUCAAAUAAUACUAAAUAAAACAAGAACUGAUUAAUAUAGUAUUGAAAAUAUCACUGAUUUGAAUGGGAUAACAAAUGGGGUCCUAUUUGAAAGUUGAUAUACAGAUUACUUUCUAGAAACAGUACUUAAUAGGUUCAAAUCACUUACAACAGCCGCCUAUCUUUAUUACUUUACUACCCUUUAAACACAUUUCAUUCUUUUCUUCACUAUUUUUAUUAUUAUUGCAACAACCAAAUGAUGCUUCUAUUAUCUUAUUAAGUCACUUGAAUCUGCAGUGUUCAGUCAACACAGAGAUCUACAAUGGGGUUUCCUUAUUCUCUUCAUCUUUUCUUCCUUUCAUGGUUUCUUUCUGCUCAUUUGCUCUGUUACUUAGCCAUAGCACAAAGAUCCACUUAUAUUGUCCAUUUGGACAAAUCUUUAAUGCCUAAUGUCUUUACUGAUCAUCAUCAUUGGCAUUCUUCUACUAUUGAUUCCAUCAAAGCUUCUGUUCCUUCAUCACUAAACAGAUUCCACUCUGUUCCAAAACUUGUGUACUCUUAUGAUCAUGUGUUUCAUGGCUUCAGUGCUGUUUUGUCCAAAGAUGAACUGAAAGCUUUGAAGAAGUCACCAGGUUUCAUUUCAGCAUACAAAGAUAGAACUGUGGAACCUGACACUACUUACACAUCUGAUUACCUCAAGCUCAAUCCCUCAUCUGGUCUAUGGCCGGCUUCUGGUUUAGGCCAAGAUGUGAUCAUUGGUGUUCUUGACGGUGGCAUCUGGCCCGAAUCUGCAAGUUUUCGAGAUGAUGGUAUUCCUGAAAUCCCCAAAAGAUGGACAGGAAUUUGCAAUCCAGGCACCCAGUUUAACACUUCCAUGUGCAAUAGAAAACUCAUUGGGGCUAAUUACUUCAACAAGGGACUUUUGGCUGAUGAUCCCACUCUGAACAUUUCCAUGAAUUCUGCUAGGGAUACUAAUGGUCAUGGCACACAUUGUGCUUCCAUUGCUGCUGGGAACUUUGCGAAAGGUGUUUCCCAUUUUGGAUAUGCACAAGGAACAGCAAGAGGGGUUGCCCCGCGAGCUAGGAUAGCUGUAUACAAGUUUAGCUUUCGUGAAGGAAGCUUAACAUCGGAUCUAAUUGCUGCUAUGGACAAGCUGUUGCAGAUGGUGUUGACAUGAUAUCCAUUUCUUUUAGUUACCGGUUCAUUCCCUUAUAUGAAGAUGCUAUAUCUAUUGCUUCUUUUGGAGCUAUGAUGAAGGGAGUGCUAGUUUCAGCUUCAGCUGGAAAUCGAGGUCCAAGUUGGGGGAGUUUAGGCAAUGGAUCUCCAUGGAUAUUGUGUGUGGCAUCAGGCUACACCGACCGGACAUUUGCAGGAACUUUGAAUUUGGGCAAUGGACUAAAAAUUAGGGGGUGGAGCUUGUUUCCUGCACGAGCCUUUGUCAGGGAUUCUCUGGUGAUUUACAGCAAGACUCUAGCCACUUGCAUGUCAGAUGAGUUGCUAUCGCAAGUUCCUGAUCCCGAAAGCACCAUUAUCAUCUGUGAUUAUAAUGCGGAUGAAGAUGGUUUUGGUUUCAGUAGUCAAAUUUCUCACGUCGAAGAAGCAAGAUUUAAAGCAGGCAUCUUUAUUUCUGAGGAUCCAGGAGUUUUCAGAGAUGCUUCUUUUUCCCACCCGGGAGUUGUGAUUGACAAAAAGGAAGGGAAAAAAGUCAUCAAUUACGUUAAAAACAGUGUUGCUCCCACGGUCACCAUAACAUUCCAAGAAACAUAUGUGGAUGGAGAAAGGCCAGCCCCAGUUCUUGCUGGAUCCUCAUCACGAGGGCCCUCUAGAAGCUACUUGGGAAUCGCAAAGCCAGAUAUUAUGGCACCAGGGGUACUGAUUCUUGCAGCAGUUCCACCUAAUCUCUUUUCACAAAGUAUUCAGAACAUAGCAUUAGCCACUGAUUACGAGCUUAAAUCAGGCACAUCAAUGGCUGCUCCUCAUGCGGCAGGAAUUGCAGCAAUGCUAAAAGGCGCACACCCUGAAUGGAGUCCUUCAGCUAUUCGCUCUGCCAUGAUGACUACUGCAAACCAUUUGAAUAGUGCUCAAAAGCCUAUAAGAGAGGAUGAUAACUUUGUAGCCACGCCCCUAGACAUGGGAGCAGGGCAUGUUGACCCGAACAGAGCUCUUGAUCCCGGCCUAGUAUAUGAUGCUACCCCACAAGAUCACAUUAAUCUUAUAUGCUCUAUGAAUUUCACCGAAGAGCAGUUCAAAACAUUUGCAAGAUCAUCAGCCAGUUACGACAACUGCUCAAAUCCCUCAGCUGAUCUCAAUUACCCAUCAUUCAUUGCCUUGUACCCGUUCAGCCUGGAGGAGAACUUCACCUGGUUGGAGCAGAAAUUCAGGAGGACUCUAACAAAUGUUGGUAAAGGUGGAGCAACUUAUAAAGUACAGACAGAAACUCCCAAAAAUUCCAUAGUUUCGGUGUCACCGCGAACUCUGGUGUUCAAGGAGAAGAAUGAUAAACAAAGCUAUACUUUGUCAAUUCGCUCUAUAGGUGAUAGUGAUCAGAGUAGGAACGUUGGGUCAAUCACUUGGGUUGAAGAAAAUGGUAAUCACUCAGUUAGGAGUCCUAUAGUGAUAUCUAGGAUUAUUGAUGUUUGGGGUAGUGAUGACUAGGACAAGAGGGAAAUUAUGUACAUAUGUUGUCGACAUGGGAAAAAAUAAUGUAUGCACACAAAAGAAUUCCAGUAAACACCUUGCCAAAUAUGUUUGUGUGUGAGAGAAUUGGAAGAAAGGGAAGUGAGCAACUUGUUCUUUCUACUUCUCUCAGCUUGCUGUUUGGGAUUGCGCAUUAAUUUCGAGAUGAGGCUCCUCUCCAUUUUCUAUCUCUCCCUUUCUCAAACUCUAACUUGGAUGAGAGACAUGUAUCAUGAUAAAAAAGAUAAUGACUGAGAUUUAAUUAACCAAAGCAAUGUUCCAACCAUUGUUAAGAUAGCAAAUACUCCCUCCAUUUCAAUCGGUUUAUUGAUCCGUUUGAAAGAGGAUAUCGCUUUCUUUUUCUCUUUCAUUUUAACUUUUCACAUGGUAUGUUAAAACUACAAGAUUACAAAACGAUUUGGUAUAUUCUACAUGUCUUUUUUCACGUGGUAUGUUAAAACCACAAGAUUACAAAAUGAUUUGGUAUAUUCUACGUGUCUUUAGUUAAAAAGGACAAGAUUCAAAAAAAAAUUCAUACUCUCUUAAAAUCUAUGUCAAAUCAAAACUAGAUAAAUGAAGAAAGUAUUUACUUCAAUUUUUGAAUUUCUCUAAAUUCUUACAUCCAGUUGUUAGUUCUGUAAUUUUGUUUGUAAUUUUGAGUUAAUCUUUACUUGGUUGAGUUCCCAUUUUCUACAAUUUGAUUAAUUUUUGCUUUAAUAACUGACAAGUCAAUGUGUAAUCAAUGGCCAUUAAAAUAUUGAUAUUAGACCAAAAACAAUAUUAAGGUAUGACCAAAUUUGAGCGCGAUAUAAUGUUUGUAUUACGUUACAAAUGAAAUCAGAAUUUAAAGCUUAUAAAUAUUUAAUUUAAUAUUUUUCAAGUUAUUGAAUUCAAUGAAUUUUUAUUAAAAAUAUAAGAUUUGAACUAAAAUUAUUUGGUUCAAUCAAAUCCACACGUCCGAACACUUACAAGAACGAGAAAUAUUUUAAAGUAAGACCGAAAACUGAUUACCGGGAAAAUUUGCUACUUACGGAAAAAUGUGGCAGAUUUUUGGACUAUAUCUGAAAAUUAUGGCUGUUUCUGAAAUUCAGCAUUGUUCUUCUUACUCAACCAAUUUGCAGCUGAAAUUCGCCCAAACAAACACCGAAUCCUCCACCAAAUUAUCCCAAAUCUGAGAUAUGAGCUCUCCACGACAUUUCUAAUCUAUUGCAAUAAUAUUAAGUCCAAACGAAUCUUGUUUGCGUCAAAGCCAUUUUUUCGAACUUGAGCUUUGAUGAAGCUUCAAUGGCGGAUUGUCUUCUUCUUCUUCAAAUUGUUCCUUAUAACCACGAAACGGACAGGAAUCAGCAACGACAAAUCGAUCAAAACAGUACUCAUUCGGAACAGAUCCUUUGACUCGGGCUUUCAACUUCUUAGAGUAAGUUUUUUCCUUAUAUUUCUUAAAUGGCAACAACUGAUACAUGAAACUUUCAGCUCCAUUUCAAUGGCUAUCAACGAAAUGGUUUGGAAACCAGCAGCAGAUUCCUCAAACAGAUUUUCAGAUUUUUCAACUUUUUCUGGGUUUAAUUUGACAGUAGUUAUUUAGUGUUGAAUUCGAAAAUGAACUUGUGUAAAUAGGUAAUUUAAAUUGAAAUCCAAUAAUUUUGACUGAUUAGGGAAAAUCUAUUCAAAUUAAGGAUAUUUAUGUUGAGUUUAAUAGAGAGAAUAUAAUUAGUUUCGAUAGUAAUUAAUAAACAAAAAUACUAAAUCAGAGGGAUUUAAUUACUCAAUAUUUUAUCCUUUUCCUUUCAUUUAAUUGGCCCUUCCCAAAAUUUAUUUCCACAAAACAUAGAUAUAUGCUAUUUUCACAAGUCCUAAUCAUGAGAGAACGUUAGGGACAUUUUCUUAUCAAAUUAUCGAUAACGAGAUAAUUUUGAAUGAAAUUAUUAACGGAAAUUUUUUUUAAAUUUUUAUUUCCUCAUAAUUUAGAGAUAUUUUAUAUGUUUUUUCUUUUAUCUCGAAUUUGUACCUAUUGUCUCUUUCAAAAAAAGUUUAAUCUUUUCCCUAAAAAUAAUAAUUACUCUCUAAAAAUAUCAAAUAUGGCUAGAAUACUGCAUGUGUGCACGUAUAAAUUUGAUUUGUCCUAUCAUGAAAUGAAUAACAUGUAUAUUCUCAAUCAGUAUAUAAGUAAUAUCUUUUCUUAAGAAAGGUUUAUUUCAAGCCUUAAUUCGUUUCCAAUUUAUUAAUUUGCAAAUUACUUUCAAUUCAUUAAGGUAGUUUUUUUUUUAUAUUUCUUUUUUAAAAAAAUUAAAACGCUAUUAAUCUAGGUUAUGAAAAUCUGAACAAACAAAGGUUCAACACUACAUUUGCAAAGAUGAAAAGGUUUAAUUAGGCUUGUAGCUUUAGUAGGAGAUCCAUCAGCCUAAAACAAUUUCAGCCAUUGAUUUGGUGAUUAGUGGUCUAAUUAAAGACCAAUUCCAGAUGCCUGUUAUUCUUUUCCCAAUAUAUUAAGCUGAGUGUCGGCAAUAUUAAAAUUUAAUAAAAUUAAUCAUUUUUGAGUCAUUCAUCAAACUAGGGACCACAAAAAAAGAUUAGUCUUUUCUAAUCUUCUUUUUCUUCCUUUUGAUUAAUCCUCCAAAUUACUAAACAAAUGCUUUAAAUGUCAGUAACUGACUCAUCAACAAGUGGGAAAGUUUAGAUUAUAUUAUCCAAAAGCUAACAUGGAGAAAGAGUGGAAGCAACACCCUUCAAUUAUUGACUUCCAUUUUUCUUCCAAAAAGAUUAUAUUUCAUUAAUUUAUCAGAAUUCUGUCAUUUCUAGCCUUAUUAAACUAAUAUCUAUGAAAACAAUAAAUAAUAAAGUAUAGUUAAUAACAUUGACUUCACUAACAAAGGUUGUGGUGGAGCGUAAGCACUUCUUCCUUUUUAAUCAGCCUUGGAUUCAAUUCCUUCGCAUACGGAGUCAUCUUUAUUAGGAACACUUUAGUCAAAAAGGAACCUCUCGAAUGAAAUUCAGAUUUAGUACACUAGGUGGGUAAACCAACGAAUUCCUUCCUAGCAGCCUGCAAGAUUUGACAUAGUGAGAAGAACCAGCUCUUUAUACAAGCAGAUUCAUUUCACUUAUAUACUAGCCGCCUAUCUUUACUAUCCUUUAUAAUUCAUUUUGUUCCCCACUUUGCCUUGUCUUUAUUAUUGCAACAACCAAAUGAUACUUGCAUUAUACUAUAAAGUUAUUUGAAUCAGUAGUGUGUACUCAACAGAAAGAUCUACAAUGGAGUUACUUCAUCUUCUGCUCUUUUCAUGGGCACUUUCUGCUCAUCUCUUUUUAGCUUUAGCACAAAGAUCCACUUACAUUGUCCAUUUGGACAAAUCUUUAAUGCCUAAUGUCUUUACUGAUCACCAUCAUUGGCAUUCUUCCACUAUUGAUUCCAUCAAAGCUUCUGUUCCUUCAUCAGUAGACAGAUUUCACUCUGCUCCAAAACUUGUUUACUCCUAUGACAAUGUGUUACAUGGAUUUAGUGCUGUUUUGUCCAAAGAUGAACUGGCAGCGUUGAAGAAGUUACCAGGAUUCAUUUCAGCUUACAAGGAUAGAACUGUGGAACCUCAUACUACUCACACAUCUGAUUUCCUCAAGCUCAAUCCUUCAUCCGGGCUGUGGCCAGCUUCUGGUUUAGGCCAAGAUGUGAUUGUUGCUGUUCUUGAUUCUGGCAUCUGGCCAGAAUCUGCGAGUUUUCAAGAUGAUGGCAUGCC